UUACACAAACAAAUACAACACUAAUAAACUAUAUUGAUCAUUGAUAUAUAAAAAUAACAAAGGAUACAUAUUUGUUAUUUAUAAUUACAAACAAACACAUUUGUUUUAAUAAUAUUUCAUGGAUAGGAACUAUCAUACACAAAAGAAAAUAAUCUUACAAUGACAAAAAAAUUUUGACAUAUAUAAUACUAAUAUACCCCUAAAAUAAAUUAUUUUGUACCCUUAAUUUUUAGAGAUCUAGGGAAAGCCCUGUCGGUCCCAUGCAUGUACAAGUAAAAUAAAUGCACUUCACUUUCUCUGGGGCACACAUAUGUUUUGGACAAUCUGCAUUUUUUUGGCAUUUCUUAAGAAUAUGUUUAGCACCAAUUACACCAAGAGAUAAAGAAAGAAAGAUUAUCAAAAUAUAAACAAACUUAUGAUUUUGUGGCAUAUUUUUCCUACUCUUUACCUGAUAUAUUGAAAAUUGUUAGACCGAUCACUUUAAAUAGAUUUUAGCACUUUCAUGUUGAAAGAAGCAA
rnacentral:lncRNA from 1 species